GGGCUCAUAGCUCAGCAGUAGAGCGCGCGAUUCGCAUUCGCGAGGCCGGGGGUGCGAAUCCCCCUGAGUCCA
rnacentral:tRNA from 1 species